UUUCAAACGGGAAAGCGUUGAUCCACAGUGGCUAAGCUGGUUACCUACGCUGUGGGGAGCAAGUGGUGAAACCGGCCCGAUCAUCA
rnacentral:ncRNA from 1 species